rnacentral:lncRNA from 1 species
GGAACAUUCUGCUUUGAAGAUGAUCAUGCUUGAAGCUACAAUCUGUAUCUGACGCAUAUUUCAACUUGUUCUCCAACAUAGCUGCUGAGUUUAACACAAAGCCAUAUAGAGGUCAUUUCUAUAGAGCACAAUAAAUACCAUUAUGUGUUAGACGGAUGGAUGGAUCACUUUUCUCCCCUUGCAAGGACCCUGGUCUAACCCCAGAUAUCAUCUCUUGGACUCUGCUAGCAGCCAUGGAAAUAGUACCCUGCUUCCAUCCCCGCCUCUUCUCAUUCCAUUUUUCAAGUAUAGACACAGCUUAAGGGACAAACAAGAUUCAAAACAUGAGAUUUCCAAAAGUAAAUUUUCAAGGUACUCCUAUGGGAAAGCGCCGUUGAGAAUAUCCUUCUCAGGUUUAGCACAGUCCCUCAAGGUAAGCACCUUCAACCCUGCUUCGACUGCAAAGAGUUCUUUAAGAAGGUAUGACUGAGAGGUCUCCGCUUUUCCUUCUUCCUAUUAAAAAU